GGGUGUUUCAUCCUCCACCUCCAAGCUUUCAUCCUGCACCUCCAAAAAUUACCAUUUUAACCUUAAUUAAUAUUAUUUUAAUAUUUUCUCUUUCUUCAUAAAGUGAUUCUGCACCCCUCUAACUUUUUCUCUUUCUUAUUAAAGUCAANCUACACCCUUCUAAUUUUUUUUCUCUUUUAUUAAAGUCAUCCUACAUCAUUUUAAUAGAUUUUAAAAUCUAUACAAUUUUUAUAUUAAUUUUCUAAAUUUCAUUUCGAGAUUUAAAAUUUAAUAAAAAUUUAAUAAAA
rnacentral:lncRNA from 1 species